GGUUUGAUCCUGGCUCAGAUUGAACGCUGGCAGGGUGUUUACGCUGCAAGUCGAACGGCAGCACGGACUUCGGUCUGGUGGCAGUGGCGAACAGGUGGUAAUGUAUCGGAACGUUGCUAGUAGCGGGGGAUAACUACGCGAAAGCGUAGCUAAUACCACAUACGCCCUUCGGGGAAAGCAGGGGACCUUCGGGCCUCGCACUAUUAGAGCGGCCGAUAUCGGAUUAGGCUGAGUUGGUGGGGCAACGGCUCACCAAGGCGACGAUCCGCAGCUGGUUUGAAGGACGACCAACCACACUGGGACUGGGAACUGGCGGCAGACUUUCCCUACAGGGCAGCAGUGGGGAAUUUGGACAAUGGGAAACCUGAUCCAGCCAUCCCGCGUGUGCGAUGAAGGCCUUCGGGUUGUAAAGCACUUUUGGCAAGGAAAGAAACAGCACGGGAUAAUACCCGUGCAACUGGCAGUACCUGCAGAAUGACACCGGCUAACUACGUGCCAGCAGCCGCGGUAAUGGUAAGUGCAAGCGUUAAUCGGAAUUACUGGGCGUAAAGCGUGCGGCGCAGGCAGUUCGGAAAGAGAUAACAGCGAAAUCCCAGAGCUUAACUUUGGAACUGCACUUUUAACUACCGAGCUAGAGUGUGUCCGGGAGGUGGAAUUCCGCGAUGUAGCAGUGAAAUGCGUAGAUAUGCGGAGGAACACCGAUGGCGAAACGGCCUCCUGGGAUAACACUGACGCUCAUGCACGAAAAGCGUGGGAGCAAACAGGAUUAGAUACCCUGGUAGUCCACGCACAAACGAUGUCAACUAGCUGUUGGGGCCUUCGGGCAGCGGGUAGCGCGCGUGAAGUUGACCGCCUGGGGAAGUACGGUCGCAGGAUUAAAACUCAAAGGAAUUGACGAGGACCCACUACAAGCGGUGGAUGAUGUGGAUUAAUGAAUUCGAUUGCAACGCGAAAAACCUACCCUUGAGCAUGUCUGGAAUCCCGAAGAGAUUCAGGGUGCUCACCAAGAGAACCGGAACACAGGUGCUGCAUGGCUGUCGUCAGCUCGUGUCGUGAAGAUGUUGGGUUAAGUCCCGCAACAGGCGCAACCGUCAUUAGUUGCUACGGGCACUCUAAUGAGACUGCCGGUGACAAACCGGAGGAAGGUGGGGAUGACGUCAAGUCCUCAUGGCCCUUAUGGGUAGGGCGCCGCCACGUCAUACAAUGGUCGGGACAGAGGGUCGCCAACCCGCGAGGAGCCAAUCCAGAAACCGAUCGUAGUCCGGAUAACAGUCUAUAACUCGACUGCGUGAAGUCGGAAUCGCUAGUAAUCGCGGAUCAGCAUGUCGCGGUGAAUACGUUCCCGGGUCGCAGCACCGCCCACGUCACACCAUGGGAGUGGGUUUUACCAGAAGUAGUUAGCUAACCGUAAGGAGGGCGAUUACCACGGUAAGUUCAUGACUGGGAUGAGGUCGUAACAAGGUA
rnacentral:rRNA from 1 species